rnacentral:rRNA from 1 species
UACGUAGGUGGCGAGCGUUGUCCGGAUUUACUGGGUGUAAAGGGCGCGUAGGCGGGACUGCAAGUCAGAUGUGAAAACUAUGGGCUUAACCCAUAGCCUGCAUUUGAAACUGUAGUUCUUGAGUACCGGAGAGGUUGACGGAAUUCCGUGUGUAGCGGUGAAAUGCGUAGAUAUACGGAAGAACACCAGUGGCGAAGGCGGUCAACUGGACGGCAACUGACGCUGAGGCGCGAAAGCGUGGGGAGCAAAC